rnacentral:misc_RNA from 1 species
ACAAACUUGGUCAUUUAGAGGAAGUAAAAGUCGUAACAAGGUUUCCGUAGGUGAACCUGCGGAAGGAUCAUUACCGAGUGCGAGGCUCAGUCGUGGCGUCAGCUGCGUGCUGGGCCGACCCUCCCACCCGUGUCGAUUUGUAUCUUGUUGCUUUGGCGGGCCGGGCCGCGUCGUCGCUGCCUGCAAAGGACCUGCGUCGGCCGCCCACCGGCUUCGGCUGGAGCGCGUCCGCCAAAGACCCCAUGAAAACUCAUGUUGUCUUUGUCGUCUCAGCUUUAUUAUUGAAAUUGAUAAAACUUUCAACAACGGAUCUCUUGGCUCUGGCAUCGAUGAAGAACGCAGC